rnacentral:rRNA from 1 species
GGAUUAGGCAUGCAAGUCGAACGAUACCUUCGGGUAUAGUGGCGAAAGGGUUAGUAAUACAUGAGUAAUUCACCUUUAACUUUGGAAUAACGGCUGGAAACGGCCGCUAAUACCGGAUGUGGUGCAACAGUGAAAUUCUGCUGCAUUAAAGCGGGGGAUCUUCGGACCUCGCGGUUAGAGAGAGGCUCAUGGGAUAUCAGCUUGUUGGUGUGGUAAUGGCGCACCAAGGCUAAGACGUCUAGGCGGACUGAGAGGUUGACCGCCAACAUUGGGACUGAGAACUGCCCAAACUCCUACGGGAGGCUGCAGUCGAGAAUCUUUCGCAAUGGGCGAAAGCCUGACGAAGCGACGCUGUGUGAACGAUGAAGGCCCUCGGGUUGUAAAGUUCUUUCGCUUGGGAACAAGAGAGGUURGCUAAUAASCAGCUGAUUUGAGCCGUAACCAAGUAAAAGAAAGCAGCCGGCUAACCUCCGUGCCAGCAGCUGCGGUAAUACGGAGGGUGCAAGCAUUAAUCGGAUUUACUGGGCGUAAAGGGCGCGUAGGCGGAUUGGAAAGUCAGACGUGAAAUUUCGGUACUUAACACCGAAGCUGCGUUUGAAACUUCCAGUCUUGAGGAUAGGCGGAGAAAACGGAAUUCCAUGUGUAGCGGUGAAAUGUGUAGAUAUAUGGAAGAACACCUGUGGCGAAAGCGGUUUUCUAGCUUACUCCUGACGCUGAGGCGCGAGAGCAAGGGGAGCAAACAGGAUUAGAUACCCUGGUAGUCCUUGCCGUAAACGAUGUAUACUUGAUGUAGUUGGGCUCAACCCCGACUGUGUCGAAGCUAACGCGAUAAGUAUACCGCCUGGGGAGUACGCCCGCAAGGGUGAAACUUAAAAGAAUUGACGGGGGCCCGCACAAGCAGUGGAGCAUGUGGUUUAAUUCGAUGCAACGCGAAGAACCUUACCCAGACUUGACAUGUAGUGGACCGCAUCAGAGAUGAUGUUUCUCGUAAGAGUCGCUACACAGGUGCUGCAUGGCUGUCGUCAGCUCGUGCCGUGAGGUGUUGGGUUAAGUCCCGCAACGAGCGCAACCCUUGUCAUUAGUUGCCAGCAAUUCGGUUGGGAACUCUAAUGAGACUGCCUAGGUUAACUAGGAGGAAGGUGAGGAUGAUGUCAAGUCCGCAUGGCCCUUAUGUCUGGGGCUACACACGUGCUACAAUGGUCGGUACAAUAGGAAGCUAAGCCGUGAGGUGGAGCAAAUCCGAUAAAGCCGGCCUCAGUUCGGAUUGAAGUCUGCAACUCGACUUCAUGAAGCCGGAAUUGCUAGUAAUGGCGUGUCAGCAAUAACGCCGUGAAUACGUUCCCGGGCCUUGUACACACCGCCCG